rnacentral:lncRNA from 1 species
UUCUCUUUUAGCCGCAGCUAUGGUUUCUGCCCUAAUUAUUCUUGUCCUUAUUUGUAAUUUAAUUCUUAAUUUAAUUUAAUUUAUAAAUUUUGUUGUAAGUUUUUCUGUGGGCGUGAAUGGAAAGUCUAACCCGUGUUUCUCUGUUCAGCCUCCGCCGGUCACGGCCGCCGCCCCCAGCGACGUCACCCACACGCGCAGAAGCGGACGCCGCGGUCAAGAUGUCUCUGCCAUGCCCACGGGACGCACGGACGCACGGACGCACGGACGGACUCCACAAGGUAGGAAGCCUGCGCCGAGCGCACCGCCGCACCCACCACAGCACACAGGACACACGCGGGCCCCGCGCCCGCCCAGGCACACGCGGCACACACGGCACACACGGCAGGCAGGCCAGGCACACGCAUCCGCAGGACCCGCACCCGCCACGCAGACACGGACGAGCCGCCGCGGUCAAGAUGUUCACCCGCCGCGGUCAAGAUGUAUGUGCCACCGACCCUCGCCCCGCUGGACGGACGGACGGACGCGCGCACGCCGUCAGCGUCCACCGGUCACUGCCGCCGCCCACAGUGAUGUCACCCACGAAAGCACACACGUAGAAGCGGACGCCGUGGUCAAGAUGUCUCUGCCAUCCCCACAGGACGGACGGACGGACUCCACAAGGUGCGCGUGUCGCCGAGGCCGCCAGGACGGAGCGAUUCUCACGGAGGAAGGAGCACGCCAACGGGGCCUGACUGCGUACAGAAAUCCCCCUCAAUAAAAUUGCAGUUGAAAUGG